CAACAGCCAGACAAGGGGAGCUGCUGCCCGUACUCAAGAUGGCGGCCGUGGAGGGCGUGGCCAGCGACUCGGAGGUUCCGAAACGGUGAGGAAUCAUGGCGGCGACCGAGGAGCGGAUCCGAGAGGAUGGAGAAGAGGAAGAAGAGGAAGCAGAGCAGUUGGUUCUGGUGGAAUUGUCCGGAAUUAUUGAUUCAGACUUUCUAUCAAAAUGUGAAAAUAAAUGCAAGAUUUUGGGAAUUGACACUGAGAGGCCCAUUCUGCAAGUGGACAACUAUGUCUUUGCUGGAGAGUAUGAAGAUACUCUUGGCACCUGUGCUAUAUUUGAAGAAAAUGUUGAACAUGGUGACACAGAAGGCAGUAAUAAAACAGUGCUAAAAUAUACAUGCCAUACAAUGAAGAAACUCAGCAUGACACGAACUCUUCUGACAGAAAAGAAGGAAGGAGAAGAAAGUAUAGGUGGUGUGGAAUGGCUGCAAAUCAAGGACAAUGAUUUCUCCUAUAGACCCAACAUGAUUUGUAGCUUUCUGCACGAACAUGAAGAUGACGACGUUGUAGCUCCAGCCUCAGAUAAGUCUUUGGAGUUGGAAGAGCAAGAGAUUCAAACGAAAGAUAAUUCAAACCUGAGUUAUGAACAGGGGAAAUCACUGAACUUGGAAGUAGAGAAUUCUGGUCCUCUUAUUGAUAUCCCUUCUUCUGAUACAGAAGGUUAUGUUUUUAUGGAACCUCAAGACACUGCCUUGGAAAUCACUCCUAGAUGAAAUGUUUCUCAUUAUAACUAGUAGUGAACUUUUUGGAGUUUUUAUAUAAAAUAAUUGUGUAGCUUUCAGUUCACUAUUUUACUAUUUUUGUUGGCUAUACAUGAUUUUUUACUAUAGCACAAUUUAAUAUACCAGAGUCAUUAAGGACCAGAUAUGAAUUGAAUUUUUAAAAAUCUGGUAUAAAUGACUAUAGGGGCCCUUUAAAUUUCUUUAAAUCAGAAGCUUUAUUAAGGUGAGUAUGUAAGUUUUUUAUUGCAGCCAUCACAAAUUACUGCAGACUUAGUGGCUUCAAACGACACAAGUGUAUUAUCUUAUAGUUUUGUAAGUCAGCUAUCUGACAUAGGCUGGGUUAAAAUCCAGGUGUUGGCAGGACUUCAUUCCUUUCUGGAGGUUGGGGGUUGGGGAGACUCUGUUUCUUUGUUCCUUUAGUUGUUGGCAGAUUUCAAUUCUUUGCCAUUGAAGGAUCAGUGUCCCAUUUUCUUGCUGUCAUUGAUGGCCAUUUCCAGCUUCUAGAGGCUGCCUACAUUCCUUGGCUUAUGGUCCUCUUCUCUUCAAAGCCAGUAAAUCUCUUGCUUCUUCCAUCAGCCUGUCUCUGACCCAUCUUGCUAAUUACCUGACCCAGUACCUGUUUUUUCUUUUUUUCUUUUGUAACAAUCCCAGAAUUAUUCAGGUUAGCAAUGUUCCCAUAUAUGUGUAAAUAUGUGGCCAUAUGACUAAGUUCUGGCCAGCGCCAUGGCAUUAUAAGUGUUGAGUGAUGGAUGCUUCUGGAAAGUUUCCUUAAACUUAAGGCAUAGAGGGAGGUGGGCCAGUUCAUCUUCUCUUUUAUCCUGCUGGAACAUGGAUGUGGCGGCUAGAGCUUCAGGAGGGUGUUUGGACUGUAAAGAAACCUUGGAAACAAGCCUUGAGUGGCAGAGCAACAAGAUAGAAGAUUGGAUCCUGAUGUGAUGCUGCCCUGGACUGCCAAGAAUAAAGAAAGCCCAAAACGAAAAGAGCCAAGAGAUUCCUCGAGAAGAGAGAACCGAAGCUCAGUGAAAAUAUUAAAAAUGCUAUGCUGAUUAAAGGGGGAAAUGCAAAUUCAAUGGUGACACAAGUACUUAAAGAUGUGUAUGCACUGAAAAAACCGUAUGGCGUUCUGUAUAAAAAG